CUAGCAGGCAGGUAGAACAAUAUCAUGAAUACCAUAUGAUCUGGUGGACAAACUCACAAAUGUAGGUAGUGUGCCACCUGAGGGGCCAGUUCUUCCCUGACACUCCUUUCUGGCCCAGUGAAUGGAGCUUGAUAGUAACCUUACUACAAGU
rnacentral:snoRNA from 1 species